AUAUAUUAUUGAGUUGGUCUAGCACCAUGUAUGACUGGUUCAUUUAAGAUGCGUUGUCGUCGAUUCCUCCAAUGACGACAUAUCUCUUUUGCGAAGUCUCUCCAGUCGAAAUAAUCCCAUUAGGCAUCUACUCUUUUUUUAUGUCAAUCUCCCAAACACGUCAGAGGUUCUAGAAUCUAUUGCUGCAUGCCGAACUGCAAUUUUACUCGGUCACUCUGGUGCAUCUCCAUAGUAAUGAACCAGAUAAUUG
rnacentral:lncRNA from 1 species